rnacentral:misc_RNA from 1 species
GAUGAAGAACGUAGCGAAAUGCGAUAAGUAAUGUGAAUUGCAGAAUUCAGUGAAUCAUCGAAUCUUUGAACGCACCUUGCGCCCUUUGGCUAUUCCGAAGGGCAUGCCUGUUUGAGUAUCAUGAACACCUCAACUCUCAUGGCUUGCCAUGAUGAGCUUGGACUUUUGGGGGUCUUGCUGGCCUGUGGUCAGCUCCUCUCAAAUGAAUUAGCCUGCCAGUGUUUGGUGGCAUCACAGGUGUGAUAACUAUCUACGCUUGUGGUUUUCCACCAGGUAACCUUCAGUGAUGAAGGUUCGCUGGGGCUCAUAAACGUCUCUCCUCAGUGAGGACAGCUCUUUGAACGUUUGAUCUCAAAUCAGGUAGGACUACCCGCUGAACUUAAGCAUAUCAAAAGCGGAGGA